AACAGAAUCCGGUAGGUAAGGCUACCACGGGGAUAUGGGUUGCUGCCGCAAAGUAGUGGAGACACUAUCAGAUGGCCAGCAGGAUAUGUCGAAUCCAAGGCAUAACCUAACGCAACUUCACCGCCCCGUGAUGCUAAAGCUUGUAUGGUUGACGAU
rfam:Faecalibacterium sp. CAG:1138 genomic scaffold, scf5